rnacentral:rRNA from 1 species
GACGAACCGUGCGAACGUUGUUCGGAAUCACUGGGCUUAAAGGGCGCGUAGGCGGCUUCGCAAGUCGGGGGUGAAAUCUUUCGGCUCAACCGGAAAAGUGCCUCCGAUACUGCGAAGCUCGAGGGGGGUAGGGGCGGACGGAACUUCCGGUGGAGCGGUGAAAUGCGUAGAUAUCGCUUGGAACGCCAACGGUGAAAACAGGUUGCUGGGGGUGUGCUGACGCUGAGACACGAAAGCCAGGGGAGCGAACGGG